rnacentral:lncRNA from 1 species
AGAGAAGAAAAUGAGAGGAAAGAGAAUUAGAGUUGGCUGGAUUUUGGGGCGAGUCUCAUUGAUGGGGAGGUAGUUUCCAGGCAUGAUUAUUAGGUCUCUCAUUUUCCAUUAUUUUCAGAUCUUUUUUUUAUUUUUUAUUUUAUUUUUAUUUAUUUAUUUUCAGACGUUAUUUGCUACUUGAUGUUUUUGUUGUUUUUUGAAUAUCAUUAGUUGAUUAAUGUUUGAAGGAGCCAUGUUUUAGCUUUUGCUUAAGUUCAUUCUGAAGUAUUUAACCGUUGUUCCGAGCAUUGAUUUGUUGAUUGGUAUA